rnacentral:rRNA from 1 species
GGCUUAGAGUUUGAUCAUGGCUCAGGACGAACGCUGGCGGCGCGCCUAACACAUGCAAGUCGAACGGAAUAUUUUUCUACUUCAAGUUUUUUGCUUGUUUGAGGAAAGCGUCAAUCAGUGCGCAGCACUGAUUUAGGCCUUUUAGUAAACCAACACAUGCAGAAAAAGAACGAGCGGAAGAUUUGAAGUAGAAAAAUAUUUAGUGGCGAACGGGUGAGUAACGCGUGAGGAACCUGCCUCAAAGAGGGGGACAACAGUUGGAAACGACUGCUAAUACCGCAUAAGCCCACGGUCCCGCAUGGGAGAGAGGGAAAAGGAGCAAUCCGCUUUGAGAUGGCCUCGCGUCCGAUUAGCUGGUUGGUGAGGUAACGGCCCACCAAGGCGACGAUCGGUAGCCGGACUGAGAGGUUGAACGGCCACAUUGGGACUGAGACACGGCCCAGACUCCUACGGGAGGCAGCAGUGGGGAAUAUUGCACGAUGGGGGAAACCCUGAUGCAGCGACGCCGCGUGGAGGAAGAAGGUCUUCGGAUUGUAAACUCCUGUUGUUGGGGAAAAAGAGGAUGGUACCCAACAAGGAAGUGACGGCUAACUACGUGCCAGCAGCCGCGGUAAAACGUAGGUCACGAGCGUUGUCCGGAAUUACUGGGUGUAAAGGGAGCGCAGGCGGGUAUGCAAGUUGGGAGUGAAAUACAUGGGCUCAACCCAUGAACUGCUCUCAAAACUGUGUAUCUUGAGUAGUGCAGAGGUAGGCGGAAUUCCCGGUGUAGCGGUGGAAUGCGUAGAUAUCGGGAGGAACACCAGUGGGCGAGGCGGCCUACUGGGCACCAACUGACGCUGAGGCUCGAAAGUGUGGGUAGCAAACAGGAUUAGAUACCCU